AGAGUUUGAUCCUGGCUCAGGGUGAACGCUGGCGGCAGGCCUAACACAUGCAAGUCGAACGGCAGCACAGGGAGCUUGCUCCUGGGUGGCGAGUGGCGGACGGGUGAGGAAUACAUGGGAAUCUGCCCAAUCGUGGGGGAUAACGUAGGGAAACUUACGCUAAUACCGCAUACGACCUACGGGUGAAAGCGGCGGACCGCAAGGCGUCGCGCGAUUGGAUGAGCCCAUGUCGGAUUAGCUAGUUGGCGGGGUAAAGGCCCACCAAGGCGACGAUCCGUAGCUGGUCUGAGAGGAUGAUCAGCCACACUGGAACUGAGACACGGUCCAGACUCCUACGGGAGGCAGCAGUGGGGAAUAUUGGACAAUGGGCGCAAGCCUGAUCCAGCCAUGCCGCGUGAGUGAAGAAGGCCCUCGGGUU
rnacentral:rRNA from 1 species